rnacentral:rRNA from 1 species
AAAUUGAAGAGUUUGAUCAUGGCUCAGAUUGAACGCUGGCGGCAGGCCUAACACAUGCAAGUCGAGCGGUAGCACAGAGAGCUUGCUCUCGGGUGACGAGCGGCGGACGGGUGAGUAAUGUCUGGGAAACUGCCUGAUGGAGGGGGAUAACUACUGGAAACGGUAGCUAAUACCGCAUAAUGUCGCAAGACCAAAGUGGGGGACCUUCGGGCCUCAUGCCAUCAGAUGUGCCCAGAUGGGAUUAGCUAGUAGGUGGGGUAACGGCUCACCUAGGCGACGAUCCCUAGCUGGUCUGAGAGGAUGACCAGCCACACUGGAACUGAGACACGGUCCAGACUCCUACGGGAGGCAGCAGUGGGGAAUAUUGCACAAUGGGCGCAAGCCUGAUGCAGCCAUGCCGCGUGUGUGAAGAAGGCCUUCGGGUUGUAAAGCACUUUCAGCGGGGAGGAAAGCGGUGAGGUUAAUAACCUCAUCGAUUGACGUUACCCGCAGAAGAAGCACCGGCUAACUCCGUGCCAGCAGCCGCGGUAAUACGGAGGGUGCAAGCGUUAAUCGGAAUUACUGGGCGUAAAGCGCACGCAGGCGGUCUGUCAAGUCGGAUGUGAAAUCCCCGGGCUCAACCUGGGAACUGCAUUCGAAACUGGCAGGCUAGAGUCUUGUAGAGGGGGGUAGAAUUCCAGGUGUAGCGGUGAAAUGCGUAGAGAUCUGGAGGAAUACCGGUGGCGAAGGCGGCCCCCUGGACAAAGACUGACGCUCAGGUGCGAAAGCGUGGGGAGCAAACAGGAUUAGAUACCCUGGUAGUCCACGCCGUAAACGAUGUCGAUUUGGAGGUUGUGCCCUUGAGGCGUGGCUUCCGGAGCUAACGCGUUAAAUCGACCGCCUGGGGAGUACGGCCGCAAGGUUAAAACUCAAAUGAAUUGACGGGGGCCCGCACAAGCGGUGGAGCAUGUGGUUUAAUUCGAUGCAACGCGAAGAACCUUACCUGGUCUUGACAUCCACAGAACUUUCCAGAGAUGGAUUGGUGCCUUCGGGAACUGUGAGACAGGUGCUGCAUGGCUGUCGUCAGCUCGUGUUGUGAAAUGUUGGGUUAAGUCCCGCAACGAGCGCAACCCUUAUCCUUUGUUGCCAGCGGUUAGGCCGGGAACUCAAAGGAGACUGCCAGUGAUAAACUGGAGGAAGGUGGGGAUGACGUCAAGUCAUCAUGGCCCUUACGACCAGGGCUACACACGUGCUACAAUGGCAUAUACAAAGAGAAGCGACCUCGCGAGAGCAAGCGGACCUCAUAAAGUAUGUCGUAGUCCGGAUUGGAGUCUGCAACUCGACUCCAUGAAGUCGGAAUCGCUAGUAAUCGUAGAUCAGAAUGCUACGGUGAAUACGUUCCCGGGCCUUGUACACACCGCCCGUCACACCAUGGGAGUGGGUUGCAAAAGAAGUAGGUAGCUUAACCUUCGGGAGGGCGCUUACCACUUUGUGAUUCAUGACUGGGGUGAAGUCGUAACAAGGUAACCGUAGGGGAACCUGCGGUUGGAUCACCUCCUUA